rnacentral:ncRNA from 1 species
ACAGAAGAGGUGCGUUACCCAGGUAUCAAUGUUGUAGGGCCCAACCCUUAUACAAUAUUGAGAGGGGGAGUAACGCCGAGAUACAAGGUGUUUGGGGCACAUUGUAUCGGCCAUGAAAGUUGAAUCUUUCUGGCUGUCAUCUAAGUCAGGUUGACUAUGAUGGGGAGCUUCUGGG